rnacentral:rRNA from 1 species
AUGAACGCUAGCUACAGGCUUAACACAUGCAAGUCGAGGGGCAGCAUGGUCUUAGCUUGCUAAGGCCGAUGGCGACCGGCGCACGGGUGAGUAACACGUAUCCAACCUGCCGUCUACUCUUGGACAGCCUUCUGAAAGGAAGAUUAAUACAAGAUGGCAUCAUGAGUCCACAUGUUCACAUGAUUAAAGGUAUUCCGGUAGACGAUGGGGAUGCGUUCCAUUAGAUAGUAGGCGGGGUAACGGCCCACCUAGUCUUCGAUGGGUAGGGGUUCUGAGAGGAAGGUCCCCCACAUUGGAACUGAGACACGGUCCAAACUCCUACGGGAGGCAGCAGUGAGGAAUAUUGGUCAAUGGGCGAGAGCCUGAACCAGCCAAGUAGCGUGAAGGAUGACUGCCCUAUGGGUUGUAAACUUCUUUUAUAAAGGAAUAAAGUCGGGUAUGGAUACCCGUUUGCAUGUACUUUAUGAAUAAGGAUCGGCUAACUCCGUGCCAGCAGCCGCGGUAAUACGGAGGAUCCGAGCGUUAUCCGGAUUUAUUGGGUUUAAAGGGAGCGUAGAUGGAUGUUUAAGUCAGUUGUGAAAGUUUGCGGCUCAACCGUAAAAUUGCAGUUGAUACUGGAUAUCUUGAGUGCAGUUGAGGCAGGCGGAAUUCGUGGUGUAGCGGUGAAAUGCUUAGAUAUCACGAAGAACUCCGAUUGCGAAGGCAGCCUGCUAAGCUGCAACUGACAUUGAGGCUCGAAAGUGUGGGUAUCAAACAGGAUUAGAUACCCUGGUAGUCCACACGGUAAACGAUGAAUACUCGCUGUUUGCGAUAUACUGCAAGCGGCCAAGCGAAAGCGUUAAGUAUUCCACCUGGGGAGUACGUUCGCAAGAAUGAAACUCAAAGGAAUUGACGGGGACCCGCACAAGCGGUGGAGCAUGUGGUUUAAUUCGAUGGUACGCGAGGAACCUUACCUGGGUUUGACAUACACGCCGAUUAUCAGGAGACUGGUAAGCGUAGCAAUACGGGCGUGAACAGGUGCUGCAUGGCUGUCGUCAGCUCGUGUCGUGAGAUGUUGGGUUAAGUCCCGCAACGAGCGCAACCCUUGUGAUAUGUUACUAACAUUGAGUUGAGGACUCAUAUCAGACUGCCGGUGAUAAACCGGAGGAAGGUGGGGAUGACGUCAAAUCAUCAUGCCCCUUAUGAUUUGGGCUACACACGUGCUACAAUGGCAGUUACAAAGAGAAGCAAACCUGUGAAGGUGAGCAAACCUCAAAAAGGCUGUCUCAGUUCGGAUUGUAGUCUGCAACUCGACUACAUGAAGCUGGAAUCGCUAGUAAUCGCGAACCAGAAUGUCGCGGUGAAUACGUUCCCGGGCCUUGUACACACCGCCCGUCACACCAUGGGAGUGGGUUGCUCCAGAAGUAGCUAGUCUAACCGCAAGGGGGACGGUUACCACGGAGUGAUUCAUGACUGGGGUG